AGUUUUGCGCAGUGGCAGUAUCGUAGCCAAUGAGGUUUAUCCAAGGCACAAUUAUUGCUAACUGAAAACUUUUCCCAAUACCCUGCCAUGACGACUUGAAAUAUAGUUGUCACUGGCAAUUUUUGACAGUCUCUACGGAGA
rnacentral:snRNA from 1 species